GGACGAACUCGACGUCGACCUGAUCGACGACGUCGGUGAUGUAUUGCAGCA
rnacentral:sRNA from 1 species